CACAGGAGGUUCAGCACCAGCUCUGUUUGCCAUUUAGUACUGAAGGUAGAUGGUCCAAUUUAGACCAGAAACCAUGGCAUCGGAUUCUGCAGCCAAGGUUUUUAUCAACUAACUGUGAUCUUGCUACCAGCCUCCCAAUACUGCCAUUUCUUCAAAACGACCCUCCAGCAUACAGUGUAAGUGAACAGAUACCAGCAAGGCCCAGCUGAUCUCCUUGGUGGCAUGCUUGUCAUUCCUUCCAUUCUCAUGGUUAUCCAUAAUCUAUUGUCUUACCAUAGUCUGAAGGCAUGCUGCCAUGCUGUCUUCCCGAAGGGGAACAGUACAAGCAGGGAGAUGCGCAUAUAUACAAAAAUAAUGAAACAAGUCAUGUGUUUACUUAAGAUAUUUUGAUUUCUAAAAUUUUAUCCCCUAAAGGAAUUCUGCAAUUUUUCCCCCUUUUUAUGUAUCAGAAACUGGAGAACAAAAAAUUCUCCCAGAAUCUCAGGGCUAGUUAGUGGCUGAACCAAUAUUGAACCUGGUCUCUUUACUCCAAGACCCUAUCUCAGUGUGGCUCCUUCACCCCUUCAUCCUACAGAGGGUAUAUGGACGGCUCUGAUUUUGAGUCAGUGUUGAGAGGAGCAGGUGAACUUUGUUAUGAGAACAGACAGGAUAAGAGUGGGGUCCUCAACCCUAGCUACACAGCAAUCAUCCCAGGAGACCUGCUAAGCACCACCUAGGUCCUGCCACAUACUGGUGGAGAUUUCUUCAGUUUCCUGCUGCAGGUUUACCCUGCUCUGUGUGUGUGCCACUUUGAGGCAGGGCGUUACAGGCCAGGUCAUCUUUAAGGAAGGUCUGUGCACCACCUCCAUCAGGAUACCCUGGUGUUGGAGGCAAAGCGGAGUGAGAUCCCUACUUCUUCCUGGAAACAACCGCCUGGCAUAGGAAACUGAACUUCUGUGUUGGUAACAAGUUGCCAAAGUAAUUCUGAUGCCAAACCAAUGUUUGGGACCUUAUUUGUUUUUCUUCCCAGCAGUUCCUUGCUGACCCUCCUACCGCUUACCGGGAGGCAAGACUUGUUCGGGGGCAGGGGAGAGGGACUCUGGGAUUUGAGUUCCUUCACUUCCUGGCAGACGGGUUUAGCAUUCCUCAUCUGUGAAAUCGCCACCAGAGCCGGAUGGCUGCCAGCUCUUAGAGUUUGGAAGGAGCUCCUGCGAUCCUUCAUCCAGGGUACUUAGUAUAGUGUUCAUGUGACAUCCUGGCAUGCCUCUGAAGCCCCCCUUGCUUGAGGUGCACAAAGUGGAGUGGUUGCUCUUCAUACUCCUCCCUCGUUGAUCUUGAGUAGUCCUUGGACCUGGUGUGAAGCUCAGCUGUGGAUUUCAGUUUAACAGCAGAUUCCACUCUGCCCUGACUCCCCUUAAGCUUCCUGAACUGGAGUGAUUCCAUUGUGUCCUCAUGGUGACCAGUGUUUCCCAGUAGCCAUGGGUUGAAUUUCCCAUCCUCUUCUGUAUCUUAUCUCCAGUUAUCCUACUUUUGCCUUUUCUCUGCUAUAAUUUGGGUAAUUUUAACACAUACAGCUUCCAGUCUGCCAAUUCUCUAAUCAGUUGAGGUGAACUCUUUAAUAUUGUAUCACAUUUGUUUAUAUUAUAUUCAUUUUAGAUCAGUUUCUAAAUUGUAUAAUUUCUGUAAUUAAAUUAGCUGAAAUUAUUGUGGAAAUUCUUUUAUCUAUAUUGUUGAUGAUUCUCAAAACUUUUUUUUCCAGUGGUUUUGUAUUUUUGGAAGGUGCUGUCAUUACCAGUAGAGCUGUCUUUAAUCCCUGUGGGACAUUUGUUUGGUCUGAUUCCAGUCACAGUCCUCCAGAAUAGUUUUGUGUUUGAUUCUCUUUGGGUGAUUCUAAUUCCUAAAUAUUUUUGCCUUAUUUAAUUUUGAAGCAUUUUAGGAAAAAAAAAAACUGAUGCUGAAAAAAUAAGUGUUAUCUACACCCUAUUAUUUAAAGCUGUCUCUGAUGUGGUGUUGCUUACCCCUUGAAUAUUUGGUUCACUCUUUGACUUAAGAGCCUUUAAAAUAUGCAGAUGGAGUCACUUCCAGUGAUCAUGUGUUCUCAAGGAGUCCUCAUCACCAGGCUCCUCCGAGAACGGCUAGCUUUCUUGUAUCUUUCUGUACCUUGAUGAGUGGCAUUUUCUUUUUCCGAGUUCAUGCUUCUAUUGAGAUGUAGUCCAUUAAGAAUUUUAGUUUUGAGAGGGAUCUAAGUUCUAAUACCCCAGUGCAAGUGUGCUGGGACCCACAUUCCCUUAGGCCACCAACAAGUGGCAGGACCGCUCGGGCCUGUGGCACCAUCAACUCCCAUGCUACCUCCCUGGUCUUGGCUCCGUACUCCUUUCUUGCUAGUUGAGUGUGUUAGCAUCCUGUGCAGUAAUGUUGGAAGUUCUUUAUUUCUUUAAGUAAGAAAGCGCUGCCUCCCAAAUCCUGGUUGCUUAUUUGACCACUUGCUUCUGGAAUCAUUUAUGAGCACUCUUCAGCUGCUCAGAACCAUGAAGAAAAGACUUGGCCUGUGUUCUGCUCUGAAGCGACUGGUGGUUUUUCAGUUGCCGUGAGACAAGGGCUAGAUACUUGGCUUGGUUCACAAUAAUCUUUGGAGAAUCUCCUCUUGUCUUGUUGUUUUGUUUUUCUUAAAAAAUAAACCAUGCCCAGUGUGCAUCAGAGAUUGUAGAUCCACACGGCUUCUGCUUUCCUCCUUUGCCCAUGCUUGUGCUCAUUUCCUUUCCUGUGGUGCUGGGAGGACAGUUAUUUUCCAGAGGAGACUGUUGUCUCAUGAAGUGCUGGUGGGCGGUGGUGUAUGUGGUGCAUAAGCGCCGUCCCUCCUUUGUCUCUGAAGGCUUUAUGCUUUCUCAUGUUUGCAUUCACAGUGGCAGAGGGUGGACAGACACAUUGCUUAGCACUUACUCAGUGCCUAAUAAAUGCCUGAUGUGCUUCAAAACAAAGAAAUAUUGUGUGUGUUUGUGAAUAUAUUAAUAAUAAAUUAUGAAUAUACUUAAGUUUUUUUAAGCAUUGUUUGCUCAUUUUUAAGGGGAGAAACUGGGUAGGUGACAAAGUGAGGUCAGGGAACGACAGCUCGUACUGCCCGAGUCAGCUGCCAGAUGCAGUGGUGCCUUUGCUGUCUGAGGAGUAGGAGAGCUGGGCCAGCCCAGAGUCCUGUUCGUCUGGACUGACUGAUGACUUGGCAUCAUAUAUAGGCCCUGGCAGCAUCAUCCUCUGGAUGAAUCAUAGCAGGCAGUGAGUAGCAAGACAAGGCACCAGUGCUUUUGUCUUUGCUUUCCUUCCUCAUGACUCAAGGCACUCAGAGGUUGAAUCUUGCCAUUUGCUUAGCAUUCCUGAUUUGAUGUGCCUGAAGGCUAAGUCCCCCAUGAACUUCGUCCAGGAGGUGGCAGAGAGAUGGAUUCCAGCCACCUCCUGGUGAUGUCUGUCCUCUGUUUCAUUCUGUUCAUUCACACUGUUGUUGCCUCAUGCCAUUGCCUGUGCUUUGGAUCUCAUUUACUGCUGAGCCAUCAUAAUUUGUGUAUCAGUAGGAUUUUCCAUGACCAUGAUGGGAUCUUUUCUGUUUUUAGUUCAAAUUUCUAAAAGGAUGGGAUCUGAUUGACCCAGCUCAUCUUUCUUUUCUCCAGCUUUAUCCUGGGUUGCUCAGCUGUAGUUGGGUCAAGCUAUUGGUCAAAUAAGUUAUUGGUAGCUGAGAAGUUUAACCCUUUGCCAUAAAACUUGGGGAUGUCUUCCCUCAUUCUUUAGUUACAGCGCUUUGAAGGUGGAUUUUAUGAUUAAUACAUAAUAACACUCUGAACCAAGUAAAUAGAAGCUCUUCAUCAUAGUGGUUAAGUGGUUAUAUAAGUGUUUGGGGAGAUCUUUUUCUCUGUUUCCAUGUUAAACAAAAGCAAAAAUAUUCUCAGUGCAAGGGGCUAAGAGUUACUUUU